CAAACUACUCCGCACAUUCGUGACACAGAUCGUUGGAUGAACUUGUAGAUGAAGCUGGUGUGCUUCGUUAAAUGCAGGGGAAAUUCGAGCACGAGAUGGGGAUGCCUAAAGAAUGCAGCUUACAACAGUCACGUUGAACCAAGGAAGCGCACUGCCAAGGGUUAAAAUUUUAAGGUUAUGACCGUAAUGCUAACAGAGGGGCCUACAGAAGAAGUCCUGUAUAUGCUCUUUUUGCAGUCUGCCAGUUGGUUAGUUCUUCUAUCCUCGUACCGAAGGAGCAUCUCUGAAAAGGCUAGCUUCAGUUCCCUGCAGUCAAGUACAAGGUUAGCUAAAUCAUCCCCCAAUUAUUCUCUCUGGUUAAUCAAAUUCCUGCUGACAGUCCGAAGUCACUAUAAUAUGGUCCCAUCCUUUCUCUCUUGCAAUUUGUAACCCCAAUCUGAUACCAUACAUUUCUGCCGCCAUUGCUGAUGUCGUGAUCCUCUUUUGGGUGGCACCUGCAAUCCACAUUCCAUUCUCAUCCUAGCUACAAUAGCUACCCCUGCAAUCAGGGAGGUUUUAGGGAGCAUGAUAUGGCUAACUAUUUUGCCUUACAAGUUACAAUGACUCCCAUUUCUACUUGCAAAUGUUUUUUUCCCUAUGUACUUUUUUUUAGAGUUCUUACCAAGACUUCUCUAUGUAAUAUGUUUAAUAUGCUUGAAAAAUAUAGGGGAGGGAGGGUCAUAGUUCCAAGUAUCUGCUCCUAAGGUGUCUCUAUUAUAAAAUCCAAUCUAAGCAAUAAUGUUCGGUUUUCUAGUUUA